rnacentral:rRNA from 1 species
GUGCAGCAGUCGCGAAACUUUACAAUGUGCGAAAGCACGAUAAGGGAACUCUGAGUGCCUCCUAAGGAGGCUGUUCUGAUGUCUAAAAGCAACAGAAGUAAGGGCUGGGUAAGACCGGUGCCAGCCGCCGCGGUAACACCGGCAGCCCAAGUGGUAGCCACGUUUAUUGGGUCUAAAGCGUUCGUAGCCGGCCAGGUAAGUUCCUUGGUAAAUUUAGCCGCUUAACGGUUAAGCUUUCAGGGAAUACUGCUUGGCUUGGGACUGGGAGAGGUCAGAGGUACUCCGGGGGUAGGGGUGAAAUCUAUUAAUCCCUGGGGGACCACCGGUAGCGAAGGCGCCUGACCAGACCAGGUCCGACGGUGAGGGACGAAGGCUAGGGGCGCGAACCGGAUUAGAUACCCCUGUAGU